AUUGAACGCUGGCGGCGUGCUUAACACAUGCAAGUCGAUCGGUAACGCGGGGGCAACCCUGGCGACGAGAGGCGGACGGGUGAGGAACGCUUGGGAAUCUGCCUAUCAGCGGGGGACAACACGGGGAAACUCGUGCUAAUACCGCAUACGCUCUACGGAGGAAAGCCGGGGACCGCAAGGCCUGGCACUGAUAGAUGAGCCCAAGCCGGAUUAGCUAGUUGGCGGGGUAACGGCCCACCAAGGCGACGACCCGUAGCUGGUCUGAGAGGACGAUCAGCCACACUGGAACUGGGACACGGUCCAGACUCCUGCGGGAGGCAGCAGUGGGGAAUAUUGGAGAAUGGGGGAAACCCUGAUCCAGCGACGCCGCGUGGGUGAAGAAGGCCUGCGGGUUGUAGAGCCCUUUCGGUAGGGACGAAAACUCUCGACCUAACACGUCGGGAGGUUGACUUAACCUACAGAAGAAGCACCGGCUAACUCUGUGCCAGCCGCCGCCGUAACAC
rnacentral:rRNA from 1 species